rnacentral:sRNA from 1 species
GCUGGGCAUGGUGGUGCACACCUGUAAUCCCAGCAGCUCAGGAGGCUGAGGCAGGAGGAUUGCGAGUUCAAAGCCAGCCUUAGCAACAGAGGUGAUAAGCAACUCAGUGAGACCCUGUCUCUA